GCUUGUCUAGCUUAGUUGGUAGAGUGCAAGACUCGUAACCUUGUGGUCCUAGGUUUUCAAGCCUCAUAUUUUGUGUU
rnacentral:tRNA from 7 species